GGCGAUAUAGCUCAGUUGGUUAGAGCACGGGAUUCAUAACCCCGGGGCCGGUGGUUCAAGUCCACCUAUCGCCACCA
rnacentral:tRNA from 1 species